CGGGACGGGGUGAGUAAUGUCUGGGAAACUGCCUGAUGGAGGGGGAUAACUACUGGAAACGGUAGCUAAUACCGCAUAACGUCGCAAGACCAAAGAGGGGACCGUUCGGGCCUCUUGCCAUCAGAUGUGCCCAGAUGGGAUUAGCUAGUAGGUGGGGUAAAGGCUCACCUAGGCGACGAUCCCUAGCUGGUCUGAGAGGAUGACCAGCCACACUGGAACUGAGACACGGUCCAG
rnacentral:rRNA from 1 species